rnacentral:rRNA from 1 species
UACGUAGGGUGCGAGCGUUGUCCGGAAUUAUUGGGCGUAAAGAGCUCGUAGGCGGUUUGUCACGUCUGCUGUGAAAUCCCGAGGCUCAACCUCGGGCCUGCAGUGGGUACGGGCAGACUGGAGUGCGGUAGGGGAGAAUGGAAUUCCUGGUGUAGCGGUGGAAUGCGCAGAUAUCAGGAGGAACACCAGCGGCGAAGGCGGCGCUCUGGGCUGGAACUGACGCUGAGGAGCGAAAGCGUGGGGAGCGAACAGG